UCCCUGGUGGUAUAGUGGUUAGGACUCUGCACUGUCACUGCUGAGGGACUGGGUUCAAUCCCUGGUCAGGGAA
rfam:Ovis aries breed Texel chromosome 1, whole genome shotgun sequence.